GUGCUUGAUUUCAAUACAACUCAAGUUGUAAGCUUGUUGCAUGCGACAGUUUUAGGCAACGUCGUGUGGUGUAAUUCGUGUAAAUUGCCAAAUCGGUCUCAGAGCCUGGUUUCCAUAUGGUUGUACUUGUAUAAAUGGUCGUAAAAAUAGAGUCACGAUCUUUCUCAACGGCCAGUUUAUAACAGUUUAUACCUGUAAACCACGUACAAAUCAUAAGUAUUCUCUAGUUAUAAUCACUCCGCGUAUUUUUAGUUCUAAAAUAUUGUAUUUCGGCUGACGAGAAAGAUCGUGACUCAUUCUUUACUCUUUAGUACGG